AGACCUCUGAUCAGAAAAGACUACCCGCUGAAUUUAAAGCAUAUCACUAAGCGGAGGAGAAGAAACUAACCAGGAUUUCCCUAGUAACGGCGAGCGAACCGGAAAGAGCCCAGCUUGAAAA
rnacentral:rRNA from 1 species